rnacentral:lncRNA from 1 species
AUCGCUUGGUAAAUGAUGUCGAAAAAUUAUAAAAUUUGAUUUCUAGAUAGUUCCAAUAGCGUAGAUUAUACCUAAUGGAGCCGAUCGUCGAAUCGAAAGUCCUAUCAUCGAAAACAACUUACAAGCACGGAGGCAUUCGUACUUUCGAAAGUACGGGAGACGUACUAUAUAUAUAUAUAUAUAUAUAUAUAUAUAUAUAGUCUGGCUACUAUGCUAUUAAUAGCACGAAGCACUUGGUGCUACCAAGUUUUCCGCCGUUAGAUCUACCUUUUUGAUCAUUUUCACCCGUUAGAUCAUACUAUUCAACCAACCACCCACUCAACCCUACGAGGCCCACGUUAUCCUAACCGUACAUCUCUUAAUCCAAUCGCCAAAAACUUGGUAGCACCAAUGACUUGGUGCUAUUAAUAGUAUAUUGGCCUAGUUCUAUAUAUAUAUAUAUAUAUAUAUAUAUAUAUAUAUAUAUAUAUAUAUAUAUAUAUAUAUACUAGUUAAGUGGACGUGCAAUGCACAUCGCACAAAUACUAAAAAAUAAAAUUUAUUGCACGUCGCACAAAUACUAAAAAAUAAAAUUUUUAUAAAUACAUAUUAUAGAUUCGAUAUAUAAUAUUUAAUCAUUACCAAAAUAAAAUGACAUAAAUAAAAAAUAAAAUUACAAUAUCAUCAAAAAAAGAACAUGAUAUCAUUGAAAAAGAAACACAAAAUUCGUCACUAAACUAACUAAAAAUGUUACUAUCAGUCUCCCUUCUAUACAAAUUUCACUGAAAGUAAGAAAAAUAAUAAAGUAAAUAUUAGUAAAUCGUCAAAAUAGAUAAAAAAAUAUAAAUUUAAUAAGAAUUCAUAUAAGUAAAAAUUUUUAGCUUAAUUUUAUUUCUUGAGUUUUUGGAAUAGAUGGAUUAAGCACGAUUUUACUCGCAAAACUUUGCUAAAUAAAUUAAUCCUGAUAAAUAAAUUUAAAAUACUACAAAAAAAUAGAAUAUUAAAAAAUAUUUAUCCUAAUCAGUUGUUAUAUUAACGUGCACUGCUGUUAAUAUAACAACUGAAUUGUUUGCAAUAGCGUCUCUCCACAUGCCAAUGUGUGUUAGCACUAUUUUGUCCUAGAGGAUCAUUCUAAUUCGACUCAUGUUUCAAUCCAUCCAAAUAAUUAGUUAUUAAUAAUUUUUUUCAUGUGAAAUGAUAAAAGGGAGAACACUUUACCUUCAUGUUUAGGGCGAUUAACAUCAUACAAAUAAAGAGUGAUUGAUUUGAACAACCAUUCCUACAAUAUCUAAGAAAACUGAAAUAGUAUAGAAGUUCGUAUUUAGUAGUAGUAUAGAAGGUGGCGAAGGCAACAAUGUGUCGGCGCCGAUGAUGACUAUGUGCUGGUAUCGACAAUGGGACAAAUGAGAAAUAAUAUUAUUAAAAAAUAUUUGAGAAUAUUUGAGAAAAAUAUAGAUAAAAAUAAAAAAAAAUAUUAUUAAAAAAUAUAUAUUUUAUAU